AUGACCGCGGAUCCCCCAACCUCCCAUGUUCCUCCUAACCUCUUUCACCCCUCUCCUGAUGUGCUCCAUGCUGCUCUCGCGACAGAGAUGACGGUGAACCUUUGGUUGCACGGCGCGGCGGCUCGCCAUGGGACUCGACGGUACGGUGGCCAGUCCCGUGACACCAUGCCUCUCCCACCUCUUUCGGUGGCUUUCUCUGCUGCCCCUGGAGCUCAACGUGGAGGGACUCGCCAUGCAUCGCGCAUCGUUCUGGACGCGGCUGCCCACAACCCUGCAAGUCGACUGUUCCAACGCCCACCAAGUGUACGACGUAAUGUUUGGACAACUGUAGGUAAAAGAAAAUCAGUUCUAUCCAUAAACCGUGUCAAAGGAUCCUCCAUGGAAUCUUCGAACAGAUCAAUGGAUAAAGCAAAAGAAAAUCCAUACGUGGUUCUGUCAGGCCUGCUGCUUCAGGUCAUCCUCCUCAAGAGUGACAGAGAUGGGAGGCUCUUCUACAAGCUCAUGAUCGACAUCAGGGAGCUGCAUAUCCUUAUUUAUAGAGAUAAUUAG
rnacentral:rRNA from 1 species